rnacentral:lncRNA from 1 species
CAACAAGUGCUUAAUUUUUGUAUCUUUCAAUCUAUAUUUUCAAUGUGUGCUUGAACACCAACUGUAACAAUCACCUUUUGUUACAUCAGAUAAUUAAAAAUACAUACACAAAUAAAUUUUAUAAGUAUCUUCCCUAUUGAGAAAACUUAAAAAUGAAACUAAUUUUGAAGGCAAGAGGAGCACACAAAAUUUUAAAAAGAUAGGAUUUAUUUAGAUAGAUGCAAAAGAAUAGAAAAAAAUUUUUAGUUGAAAAGCCUGCCAUUAUGGAAGAACAGUUUUUUCAAGAAUUAUAGAAAAAUGACACUCCUUAAUCCAAAACCAAUAGUUUUUCAUGACAAAAGAUAGUUUUGACUACCUAUAAAUCAUCUAAAGCAGUGUUUUGCAAAUUUUCAGCAUCUCUAUAGCCCUUUUAAAAUUUUAAUAACUCCAGUGUAUUCUCUUUAACCAAUUUAGAAGUUAUAAUAUUUUAUUGAAGAAAAGUAACAAUAAAUAAUUGCAUAAAGAUAGUUAUUUUUAACAUUUGCAUUAUAAUAAGUUAUAGAUGUCUGAAAUCUUAUGAAGUGAGAUCAAAAUGUAGAAAUGAUCUCUAAACUCCUUUUACACUUCCCCACUAUUACAUGUACCACACUUUGUGAAACACUGGCUUAAAGGAUAGAAAGAUUUACAAUUGAUUUCAUCUGUGAUCUUUAACAUCAAAGUCUAUAAAUCCACAUUUUAUCAUAAUCUGAUAUAUAAAUGAUAAAAAGAAAAUUUAUUAAUCAAUGAAGUUCAGGUUUAAGUUAACAAAUUGGAAUUUAGUUUGUUACAAGGAAUGCUAUUGAUCAAAGUUAUUUCAUAUCAUGUUGCAUAAUAUUUGUUAGUAAUGGCAACACAAUAAGGAAGAUUCAUAUUCUAAUAGCCUGCUUUUUCCCUUUAAUUAUACUAUUAAUACAGUAUUCGAGCACUCAAUGCAGUUAAUGUCUUAAGAAAUGAAAAGGACCUUGAAAAGAGAACAAAAAGGCAGGAAUCUACAAAAUCCCAGUGAACAAUGACAAAACAGCAGACAGCAGCAUACCUAGAAGUGACCAAUCGAACCCUGGCCCAAAGAUUAGAACAACAUAAGAAGGAUGUAUCUAAGGGCAAAUUAAACAUGGCUUUAGCUAUAGAAGAUUAUGCAACAGACCUAAGAAUACAGUGGGAUGAUGCCAAAGUAAUAAAACCAGUUAAGAAGGAAACACAAGCAUACAUAGCAGAGACAUUGGAAAUAAUGA